UACGUAGGUGACAAGCGUUGUCCGGAUUUACUGGGCGUAAAGAGCGCGCAGGCGGUCGUUCAAGUCGUGUGUGAAAGCCCCCGGCUCAACUGGGGAGGGUCACUCGAUACUGAUCGACUCGAAGGCAGGAGAGGGUAGUGGAAUUCCCGGUGUAGUGGUGAAAUGCGUAGAUAUCGGGAGGAACACCAGUGGCGAAGGCGACUACCUGGCCUGUUCUUGACGCUGAGGCGCGAAAGCUAGGGGAGCAAACGGG
rnacentral:rRNA from 1 species